GGUCUAUAAGCAAUGACGGGAGGCGUCCAAAAUCACUUCCUUCCUGUGUGGGACAUCACGGGAAAUGUAGUUUUUCGUAUACCAUGACCGCUGCGACGUGUUCUGACUAGGGAAGCAUUUUCCUUAAGCGGCACAGGCGGAUGAGAGGCUCAGCAGCUCACAUGCCAGAAGAGGGCGCCAGACCUCAUUACAGAUGGUUGUGACCUCUGGAAGAGCAGCCAGUGCUCUUAACCACUGAGCCAUCUCUCCAGCCCUUAUGAGCAUCUUUAUCCACUCAGCAUCUGUAUUUGUUCAUUUUCUGGAGGGAAGUACUUCUCAGCAACUGUUGCUACAGAAAAUGUCAUGGCGGAGUACGGAGUUGCUCACUUGAGCUCCUCUGAAGCUUGGGACAACAGGCUCAGAUCUUACUGUGUACCCUGGCUGCCUCAGAUUCUUCUAUGGGAACCAGACUGGCGUCAAACACCCAAAUACACUCCUGCCUCUGUCACCUAAAUGUUGGAAUUAA